rnacentral:rRNA from 1 species
UACGGAGGGGGCAAGCGUUGUUCGGAAUUACUGGGCGUAAAGGGCUCGUAGGCGGCCCUGCAAGUCCGGCGUGAAAUCCCGCGGCUCAACCUCGGAACUGCCUCGGAUACUGCGUGGCUUGAAUCCGGGAGAGGGACGUGGAAUUCCAGGUGUAGCGGUGAAAUGCGUAGAUAUCUGGAGGAACACCGGUGGCGAAGGCGGCGUACUGGACCGGUAUUGACGCUGAGGAGCGAAAGCCAGGGGAGCAAACGGG